AAAAGUGAAAGACGGUCUUGCUGUCACUUAUAGAUGGAUCCGCGCUGCAUUAGCUAGUUGGUAAGGUAACGGCUUACCAAGGCAACGAUGCAUAGCCGACCUGAGAGGGUGAUCGGCCACACUGGAACUGAGACACGGUCCAGACUCCUACGGGAGGCAGCAGUAGGGAAUCUUCCGCAAUGGGCGAAAGCCUGACGGAGCAACGCCGCGUGAGUGAUGAAGGUCUUCGGAUCGUAAAACUCUGUUAUUAGGGAAGAACAUAUGUGUAAGUAACUGUGCACAUCUUGACGGUACCUAAUCAGAAAGCCACGGCUAACUACGUGCCAGCAGCCGCGGUAAUACGUAGGUGGCAAGCGUUAUCCGGAAUUAUUGGGCGUAAAGCGCGCGUAGGCGGUUUUUUAAGUCUGAUGUGAAAGCCCACGGCUCAACCGUGGAGGGUCAUUGGAAACUGGAAAACUUGAGUGCAGAAGAGGAAAGUGGAAUUCCAUGUGUAGCGGUGAAAUGCGCAGAGAUAUGGAGGAACACCAGUGGCGAAGGCGACUUUCUGGUCUGUAACUGACGCUGAUGUGCGAAAGCGUGGGGAUCAAACAGGAUUAGAUACCCUGGUAGUCCACGCCGUAAACGAUGAGUGCUAAGUGUUAGGGGGUUUCCGCCCCUUAGUGCUGCAGCUAACGCAUUAAGCACUCCGCCUGGGGAGUACGACCGCAAGGUUGAAACUCAAAGGAAUUGACGGGGACCCGCACAAGCGGUGGAGCAUGUGGUUUAAUUCGAAGCAACGCGAAGAACCUUACCAAAUCUUGACAUCCUUUGACAACUCUAGAGAUAGAGCCUUCCCCUUCGGGGGACAAAGUGACAGGUGGUGCAUGGUUGUCGUCAGCUCGUGUCGUGAGAUGUUGGGUUAAGUCCCGCAACGAGCGCAACCCUUAAGCUUAGUUGCCAUCAUUAAGUUGGGCACUCUAAGUUGACUGCCGGUGACAAACCGGAGGAAGGUGGGGAUGACGUCAAAUCAUCAUGCCCCUUAUGAUUUGGGCUACACACGUGCUACAAUGGACAAUACAAAGGGCAGCGAAACCGCGAGGUCAAGCAAAUCCCAUAAAGUUGUUCUCAGUUCGGAUUGUAGUCUGCAACUCGACUACAUGAAGCUGGAAUCGCUAGUAAUCGUAGAUCAGCAUGCUACGGUGAAUACGUUCCCGGGUCUUGUACACACCGCCCGUCACACCACGAGAGUUUGUAACACCCGAAGCCGGUGGAGUAACCUUUUAGG
rnacentral:rRNA from 1 species